UACGGGGGGAGCAAGCGUUGUUCGGAUUUACUGGGCGUAAAGGGCGCGUAGGCGGCCAGCACAAGUCAGUUGUGAAAUCUCCGAGCUUAACUCGGAAAGGUCAACUGAUACUGUGCGGCUAGAGUGCGGAAGGGGCAACUGGAAUUCUUGGUGUAGCGGUGAAAUGCGUAGAUAUCAAGAGGAACACCUGCGGCGAAGGCGGGUUGCUGGGCCGACACUGACGCUGAGGCGCGAAAGCCAGGGGAGCGAACGGGG
rnacentral:rRNA from 1 species